AUACGUAGGGGGCGAGCGUUGUCCGGAAUUACUGGGCGUAAAGGGUGCGUAGGUGGCCUUUUAAGUUGGAUGUGAAAUACCCGGGCUUAACUUGGGGGGUGCAUCCAAAACUGGAGGGCUAGAGUGCAGGAGAGGGAAGCGGAAUUCCUAGUGUAGCGGUGAAAUGCGUAGAUAUUAGGAGGAACACCAGUGGCGAAGGCGGCUUUCUGGACUGUAACUGACACUGAGGCACGAAAGCGUGGGGAGCAAACAGGAUUAGAUACCCUGGUAGUCCACGCUGUAAACGAUGAAUACUAGGUGUAGGGGGUAUCAACUCCCCCUGUGCCGGAGCUAACGCAAUAAGUAUUCCGCCUGGGGAGUACGGCCGCAAGGUUGAA
rnacentral:rRNA from 1 species